ACGGACCGGAAACUCGCCCUCUUCUGCUGGAGACGGUUGCAGCAGGCGGCGUUGCGCAUCAGCUCUUCUCAGCCUUUGCCUUCUUCGAGAUUCUCCGCGUAGAUGCCACGCCGCUACUGAUGAUAACCAGACGUCUUCACUGUGUCGACCUUUUAAGGUCUCACGCUGAGGUAGCAGGAGAUGCGUGAUCCUUUGUCUCCUUCCCUGAGGACAGAUAGACGGUAGCAGCAGUAAUGGAGCUACACUGGCACUGACCCUCAUGACGUUCUCGAUUUGCAAGAUUAUGGAACCAUUUGACUGACCAGAGCACACGGAGCCACAUUUUAACGCCAUACUACAUCCAAAAUGGACAGUUACUUUUGUUGUUGUAAUGAAUAAUUAAUAAUUAAUUUACUUAAUUGUGAGAAUUUAUUUCUGAUAUGUAUUCUUAGAUGCAAUAUUCUGUAUUCAGAUUUUUGGGUAAUGCUUACAGGACACCCUUCGUCUUACCUCUGCAUUCAGUAUGUAUUUGUUUGGCUGUGUUUGAUCAGUGUACCACUUCGAAGGAAUGAAAUAAAGGAAUUUAAUCUUG